rnacentral:SRP_RNA from 1 species
NGUCGGUCCCUUCGCAAUGGUAGGNNAUGAACNCCGCCAGGCCCGGAAGGGAGCAACGGUAGUAGCUAAUCCAUGUGCCGGGGUGUGGCUGGCGAGG